GGAAGAGAAAGAAAAAUCGAUUUCCUGAGUAGCGGCGAGCGAAACGGAAAGAGCCCAAACCAAGAAGCUUGCUUCUUGGGGUUGUAGGACACUCUAUACGGAGUUACAAAAGAAAGUUAUAAAUGAAGCGGUCUGGAAAGGCCCGCCAAAGACGGUAACAGCCCGGUAGUUGAAAUGGCUUUCCCUCCAGAGUGGAUCCUGAGUACGGCGGAACACGUGAAAUUCCGUCGGAAUCCGGGAGGACCAUCUCCCAAGGCUAAAUACUCCCUAGUGACCGAUAGUGAACCAGUACCGUGAGGGAAAGGUGAAAAGCACCCCGGAAGGGGAGUGAAACAGUUCCUGAAACCGUGUGCCUACAAGUAGUUAGAGCCCGUUAAUGGGUGAUAGCGUGCCUUUUGUAGAAUGAACCGGCGAGUUACGAUUUGUUGCAAGGUUAAGCGGAAAAAGCGGAGCCGUAGCGAAAGCGAGUCUGAAUAGGGCGCAUAAGUAACAGGUCGUAGACCCGAAACCAGGUGAUCUACCCAUGUCCAGGAUGAAGGUAAGGUAAUACUUACUGGAGGUCCGAACCCACGCACGUUGAAAAGUGCGGGGAUGAGGUGUGGGUAGCGGAGAAAUUCCAAUCGAACUUGGAGAUAGCUGGUUCUCUCCGAAAUAGCUUUAGGGCUAGCCUCGAGGUAAAGAGUCAUGGAGGUAGAGCACUGUUUGGACUAGGGGCCCUUCUCGGGUUACCGAAUUCAGAUAAACUCCGAAUGCCAUGUACUUAUACUCGGGAGUCAGACUGCGAGUGAUAAGAUCCGUAGUCGAAAGGGAAACAGCCCAGACCACCAGUUAAGGUCCCCAAAUAUAUGUUAAGUGGAAAAGGAUGUGGGGUUGCUUAGACAACCAGGAUGUUGGCUUAGAAGCAGCCACCAUUGAAAGAGUGCGUAAUAGCUCACUGGUCGAGUGACCCCGCGCCGAAAAUGUACCGGGGCUAAACAUAUUACCGAAACUGUGGAUGAACCUCUUC
rnacentral:rRNA from 1 species